AGUUCCAUGUAGUUGUAAAUAUAACCAUAAAUAUAGAAAACUGAACUUGCACCUUGCACCUUGCACAUUUGCAUUAUAUUUUUUAUUUGUAAAGUGUGUAGAGUUUGACAUACAAAAAACCAAGUUUAAAAUACUAUGGAUGUAAAACAAGAGAUUAGUGAGGAGGCUUGUAAAGCAGAAAUAUAUUAUAAUAAGAUGGAUGAUGAUUUAUUAAUGGACAACUGCAAAAUUGAAAUUCAGGAGGAAUGUAAGAAAGAAAGUACACAUGAUACAUUUGUUUAUUCAGAGGUACAGCAAUUCCCGAUGAAGAUUGAAGUAAAACAAGAUGAAAGUAAACUUACACCAGUUGAAGAAAUAGGAAUAAUAGAAAAAAGCUUUCCCCAAGAAGAGGACACAUUGAAAAAUAUGAAAACACAUAAUGUACAUUCAUCUAAUGAAGAAAAACAUAUGAGUCAACUUGCUGAAGAAGAAACAUUAAAAUGUGGAAUUUGUUUUAAGCAGUGUAGUAAACCAAUUUAUUUGAAAAGACAUCUACCUCUGCACUCUGGAGGAAAUCCAUACAAGUGUGAAGUUUGUUUGAAGCAGUUUUCUCAGGAAGGAUAUUUGAAAACACAUUCGAGAUUGCACACUGGGGAAAUGCCUUACAAGUGUGAAAUCUGUUUAAAGCCGUUUUGUCGGGCAGAUUCUUUACAACGACAUAUCAAAGCUCACACUGGAAAAAAACCAUACACGUGUAAUAUUUGUCUUGGGCAGUUUACCCGAAAAUUUGCUUUAAAUGAACACAUGAAAAUUCACACUGGAGAAAAGCCUUAUGAGUGUGAAAUUUGUUCUAAGCAAUUUAGCCGAGUUGAAAAUUUGAAAAAGCAUUUGAGGAUACAUACUGGGGAAAAGCCCUAUAGGUGUGAAAUUUGUUCGAAACAGUUUAGUGAAAGCGGAAGUUUGAAAUCUCAUUUAAGGGUGCACACGGGAGAAAAACCUCACAAGUGUGACAUCUGUUUGAAGCAAUUUAGUAUGGCGUGUUCUUUAAAAACACAUUUGAGUGUGCAUACUGGGCUAAAACCUUAUAAGUGUGAAAUUUGUUUUAAGCUGUUUUCUCAGCUAGGUCAUAUUCAGCUGCAUAUGAGAUCGCAUACUGGAGAAAAGCCUUACAAGUGUGAAAUCUGUUUUAAGCAGUUUUCUACAUCAAGUAAUUUGAAAACACAUUUGGUAAUGCACACUGAAGAAAGGCCAUUUUAAGUGACAUAGUGAAAAGUUCGGCCCUCAAUUCUUCCCCGAGCAGGUAAUAAAAUAUAAUCCUACUCUUAACAACUGGUCCCCAAGCAGGGGAUUAUAAUUUCGGGAAAUUUUCUCUACUUGAGUUUAACAAAGUUUAAAUUUAAAACUUUAAAAAGGAGUAAACCUUGUAGUUGGCUGUAUACCUUCGAUAAGACAGUGUAGAAUAAAGUAAAUCCUUCUGUUGUAUGUAGGAAUGUAGGUAUAUGAAUUUAUUAAAAAAUUCCUUAAAAUUUAUCCACAAGGUAGUGGAAAAUUACAAUGCACAAAACGUUUUCGGUCAAAGCUGACCAUCAUCAGUGUGAACCUGGAAAUCAGUAAACUACUUAAAUUUAAAAGCAAAAGGUUGAAAAAAGAAAAUGUGGUUGCAUAUCCAGUAUUUGAAACUAGCCACUUCAAUAGGUGUAAAAACCUGUAAAUUACAUGACUGGUACAUUUAACAUUAAAAAGUAAUCGACAUUAAGUCGAUGUAUUAAGGUUUAUGGAAUACCAUGUGGAAGUACUUCAUCCUUGCUCGAAAUUGCACAUCAUGCUUAAGUGAGAGGUUGACGACCAACUAGCUGCUAGACUGAUGAGUGCCAAAGAUGUAUGACAAUAUGUCACAGGAAGGUGGUUUUUGAUGAUUUGACAUGAUGUCUGUGUCAUCCACUAUAAUUACUACUAUACCCAUUCAUUUACUUUAUUUAGUUUCCUUAAACAUAUGCAACCAACCAUACCUCCUGAAUAAUUUUCUUUCUAUUCACUUCCAGACACUUUGAACAAUAUUUCAUUCAUUACAAUUAUCACAAUUUUACUUUAACCUAGAAUUUAAUUAUUAUUCCACUCAGUUAAUUUUCCGAAAAACAAUUUAUUACGUCACACAGCAUGAGUGCAAAAUUUUGCUUUUAAAUUACUGUUUGAAAAAAUCAAUAUAUUACAUCUCAUUAACUUUUAUUUACAUAUUUGAAUUCAUAAUAAAUAUUAACAAUAUUUUCAUAUUUUAAAUAUAUCAAUUAAAUAACCAUAGUAUUUUUCAGACAUCAUGUCAAAUCAUCAAAAACCACCUUCCUGUGACGUCUUGUCAUACAUCUUUGGCACCCAUCAGUCUAGCACACUAUGUGCAAUUUAGAGCAAGGAUGAAGUAAAUCCACAUGGUAUACCAUAAGUCUUAAUGCAUCGUUUUAAUCAGCCGUGUGAUGGAUGACCGAAGUUAUCGUUAACGUAAAGUUAUCCUGUAGUUAAGUUAUAAUCCUCGAAUUGGUGUGACGUAUCAUAUUUAACUUAACUACUUGCGUUAUUUCUUGACAGUUCUUGAGUUAUCUGAUAUACCCUAAUAACACAAAACAUUCCAGGAAUGUUCCUAGAAGGUACUCACAGGACAUUGAAAACAUUCCUGGAAUGUCCCCAAAUGCACACGAAUGUCCCUGGAAAGUCCCAGGAAAGUGAUGUGUCAGCAUUUUAAAUAUUCUUAGAAUGUUCUGUUGGAACAUUCCAUGAAUGUCUACGAAUGUUCUUUGGACAUUCACAGUAUAUGUUUUAGACUGAAUGUCUUGUUGGAACAUUCCAUGAAUGUUCUUUGGAUAUUCACAGUAUAUUUUUUAGACUGAAUGUCUUGUUGGAACAUUCCAUGAAUGUUCUUUGGACAUUCACAGUAUAUUUUUUAGACUGAAUGUCUUCUUGGAACAUUCCAUGAAUGUCUACGAACAUUCUUUGAACAUUCAUAGUAUAUUUUUUAGACAUUCUCUGAAAUAUAUCGUCAGUGAUGUGAUAAUACCUCAUAUAUGUUUUUUCAUGAGGUGUGCAGGAGACGAAAAACAUUUUUUAAGGUCACCUGUUUUCAUACGUAAGUUCUGACUUGUUUUGUAGUAAAUAGAUAAUUGAAUUUACUGCAAAACAAGUCAAAAAAUAUAUGAAAACAGGAGGUGGCCCAAACAAGUUUUUAGUCUAUCUUACAAAUCUCAUGAAAAAACAGAUACGAGGUAUUGUCACAUCACUGACGAUAUGUGGCCAUAACAAAUAAUACAUCCUUGAUAAAUAUAAACAUUUUUAUUGCAAAAAAUCUUUUCAUACAUUUUUUUAAUGUAAUUUACUGACAUUCCUAAAUAUUAUAAAAAAAAUGUGUCACAUUUGCUUUGUAAACCUUUCUGUUGCUUUUCGUAGCCACAUAUUCCAUUUCUCUCGGCUGAUUCUAAAAGAAAAUAAAAUAAAAGGUAAUUUUUCUAUCCUUUACAAUUAACAAUCAGAAGAAAUAUUAUUUACAGGUAAUAAUAAUAAUAUGCAUAAAUAACAAUAAAAAAAUAAGUAUUAAAUAAUAUUUAAAUAAAUAAUAAAAAAGAAUAUUUAAUAAAGAAAAUAAUAAUAAUGAACAUUUUGUAUUUUGACAACGACGUCGGAUGUGGAAGAAGAAACCUAAAUAAAAUUAUUUUUUCAAGUAAAUUGUGGCUUAUUUCCCCAUUAGAAUAGUUAAUUACAAAAAAGCCACAAAGAAAUAGCUUUUUCACAAACAAAUAAGUAUUUAGUAUUCAUUAUAUUUAUUGUUUUUAUUAUUUACUUUAAUGUCCGACUGGUAUAUUAUUUGACAAAUAAUAACAUUAUUUCGAAGUCUGUUAAGUACGAUAUAACGCUCUAGGGCGUUAUUUUGAAAAAUAAUGCCCUUGGGCAUUAAGUUUAAAUAACGACUAGAUACUGUCAAGUUGACAAAUAUCAACCUAAGUAAAACUAUGGUUACCACAAUUACGUUACUACUGUUACUGGUAAAUGUACCUAUUUAAAAACUAAUUAAUUCAAAAUUCAUUCAAAUUUUUCGCAUUUAAAGAAUAAUUUAGUCAGACAUUAAACGUUGAAGGCACCACAGGUAUUAUAAUAAUAACGCUUUCGGUCAACGUAUAUCCCUCAGGCCGAAGACCCUUGUUUAAUACACCAUUGACCUCAAGCAUUAUUAUCCUUAUAAUACCCUUGGUACCUUAAUAACUAUAACAUAAGAUUAUAACUUAAUUCUUGUUUUCUAUUUUUGAUGUUUUUAUUUAUUUACAUUGAAUAUUAAUCUGUUUUGUUGUAUAAUCUACUUCGCAAUAAUUAUGUGAUAUAUUUGACUUAAAAUGAAUUCAAAAAUGCUUUGUAAUUGGGCAACAAUGUCAACUUAGAUCUCUGAUGUAGAUAUUAUAGAGAUUUUGCACCUCUUAAAAUAACCGCUGAUUUUGGCUCCGCUAUGGUUAACUUUAUUAAGCAUAACGAUUAUGGCAACGUUAAAAAGCAGAGUUUUUGCAGCCUGUCAAGUAUGUUUUUUGUGUCAUCGUUAUCGUUAUUUAAACGUAACCUCACUUCACAACGUUAUUGUAAUUUUAAGCAUAUACUUGAACAGUUUUUGAUAUUUUAAUUUAUAAGUCAUCAAAAUUAGAAUCUAUGUAAAUGUAAUUUUACUGAUUUUUUACAUUCUGGCAACAAAGCAAUUUAACCAUUACUAUAAUGAUAACGAUAAGCACUACUUUAAACCUCCGUAAAUUACGGAAUCCCUUAUGUUUCAUAACGGAUCAUAUAUUCGCUACUGCGCAGACAUAGUAUAACGAUAACCAUAACGGAAUUGCAAAAUAAGAAGUGCAAAAUCUCUCUAAUGAAUUGCAACAGUAUCUAUAUUGUACGGACUGUAUUAUUAAUUAUGUUAAGCAUAUUACCUGUAUGACAUAAGCUAUUGGAACAGCACAGUCUCUCAAAUGAACAGAUGAAAGUGAAGUUCUGUCAAUAUAUUUUUCUAAAAAAUGUUUUGAACAUACUCCUCUAUUAACAAAUCAGAUCUAUACUUCAUGCCUUCUUCGCAGGAUCUUCUGGAAAGCUAAAAAUACAAAAUAUAUGCAUUACUAAGCAUUAUUAACAAAUUUUAGUUUUAAAUAAAAAAUAUGAUUAACGAACUCACAAAAUAUUAUAAAACAGCUUAGAAAUUGUUUAUUAGUAUAGUCGUUCCCCAAACUCAGACACAACUGGCUAGUGAUUUUAGUAGGUAAUUUUUUUGUUUUUGGCCAAGUUUGCCAAAAUUACUAACUAUUUAGUAAUUAUUGACUAUUUAGUUAUUAUUUUUUUGCCAAUUUUACGCAAUUGGCAAAAUUAUUUACUAAAAUCACUAGCCAGUUGUGUCUGAGACUCAGUAGUACUGAGACUGAGUUUAGCGAACCGACUAUAAUAUUCUGUGUAUUCAUUAGUUGGUACUACAUAUUAUAGUGUGUGGUCUACCAUCCUGUUUAUAAACGCAUACAUUAGCAAAAGAGUAAAAAGAAGAAUUAUUUUAAUUUUACAAAUAAUCCUUUUGGUUAUUAUCUCUAUUUACUAUUUUAGUUAGGAAUAAGCGGAGUUUGUAGUUUGUGGCUUAUUCACAAUUAUUAAAAUAAUAAAUGGAUAUGACCAAUUAUCAGUAAGUGAAACAGAAUUCAUUGGUAUAAAUUUCAUAUCUGUAAUCCGUCUACCCGUAAAGGAAACCAGAACCAAUAGUAUUAAUUUAUUUUCUGAAAUACAGGGCAUGCCUUUGUUUACAUAAUAUUUGCAUACUAACCUUUGAAACGUUAUUCCUGAAGAUCUACAUUUGCUUCUGCUGCUCCAACUGCGUUGAGGACAGGACGGACACAUUUUAUGCAAUAUGUUAAUAAUACUAUAAAAGUAUCCGAAUUAAAAAAAUAUUCUUAAAAAGCACAAAUAAAACAAACAACGAUCACGCCACACACGACAAGGCCGGGCAAGGUGGCCAAGAUGCCAAGAUGGCCGAAGUGAGGUCGUUCGUUGGUCGUUUUUAGUCACGUGAUGCCAUCGUGAUGCCCUCUCUAAGCGGCAUGCACAAAUAAAAAAUGAACGCAAAAGAAAUAAAUAUAAAUGCCUCUCUUCGGUUUUGUAAUAAUUUUUAUUACAUUUGUAUGUUUACCUAUAUAUUGUAUAAAAUGUUAAUUGAACUUGGGAAACUCUUUAAGUUUUUACAUUUGACAUAUUGCACUGUAGGCCUAAAAUGUCACUUAGUUUGUUUGGUAUGUUAUAAGUAAUGUUAUAUCUGUUACACGUAUUUAUUAUUUGGCAACUUAAAAUAUAGGAACAUUGCUAGUAUGUUCACAGAAUGUCUUAUAGUAACAUUCCAGGAAUGUUCCCUAAAUGUCCAGGACAUUCAAAUAUUGAUAGAACUUUGGUAGUACAUUCCUGGAAUGUUUUGUGUUGUUAGGGUAUCAACUGUCACUUUAUAACGCGACGUUAAACCUCAAGUUAUGAGAUAACUAUGUAGUUAUGUAAGGUUAGGUUCAUCUUUUGACUUGUUUUUAGACAGAAAUCAAGUGAAUUUAGAAGCUAAUAAUUUAAUAAUUAAGAAUAUAAGGGUAAUACAAUUUUAAAAAUUAUACAAAAAUCAAAUCGAGAGAUAUAAGUUGAAAUUUUAUUUUAAGUACCUACUGAGCUUUCUAUCCAGAGUUGCCAGAUGAUAUUUUAUAAAUCCCCCACUUGAAACUGAAAUUCCAUCAAAUUAAGGUCCGGUACUUUAUGCCUCUAUUAACAGCCGUUAGUUAACCGGGGUUUAAUCAGGACCUCUUUAUUAUUAUUAUACUUAUUAUAAUUAUAAUAAUACUUUUAAUUGCAUUUAUUACAACGCAAGAGACCCUAAAGAGGUCCCUAUUAAACUCCGGUUAACUAUCCGGUUGUUAAUCGAGACAUAAAGUACCGGACCUAAAGCUCAAUGCUCAAAUAUGUACCCCAAAUUUAAAUUUUUGCCGCAUUUUAAUAAAUUAGUGGUCAAAUGAAGAGAACGGUAAACCAAAAUUAUACUACGAGGGCCCUGGAAAUAAUUCAUAGUUCAUAUCGUCUUCGAUUAUAUGGGAGUAUAAUAUACAGUUCUAUGUACAUUCGCAAAUUUAAUUUACCAUGACCCCUUAAAAUGCUCCAUUAUUUUCCGCCCUCCAAAAAAUCCCACUACAAUUUCUGGUUAGAAAAAUUUCAAUCGACGGUUUCAAAUUACCCCAAAAUUGUGGAAAAAAACACCAAUCUGGCAACCCUGUUUCUAUCUACCCAUUGAAACACAUGAGAGCUUAUUUUCCCGACUUGGCACCCCCCACCAACUAAGCUCUAGGAACAGUUCGACGUUUUAUGAAUUUGCACUUAACCUAACUUUAUUUGAAUUUAGUAAACGUAAGCACUAUAAGUGCAUUCGCGGGUGCCUGUCGGCGACAAAUUAGCAGCAAAACGCAUGCGCACUUUAAAAUUUUAUGAAUAAUAUCGUUAAUAGAUAAAUAUACAAGGUAUAUUUACCUAGUAUAAUUUAAUAAUUAGUUAUUAAUAUUAAUUAAAAGUAAAUAUGUAAUAAUGAAAACCUGGUAUGUAAAAGUCUAAAGGAUAUUUAUAAAGAAAGAGAAGAAUAAUAAAUAUUCUGACACUAAAUUGACAUAAAUCUUGUUCCGUCAAUUUUAAAAUCUAAUUUAAUAUUUUAUUACAUAUCUGUUAAUUUUUUUCGUUUAAACUUGUUAAUGUAUUAUUUGUUAUUGUUAAUUUAAAGAUUAGAAUGUUAAAGACUUAUAAAACCGAUUUUCUUUAAGGAGAAAAAACGGCGUUUAGUCUAUCUCCCGAGUUUCCAGAGUUUCUACAUUAUAAAUCGGUUUUUGGUCACCUUGAAUACAGGAAGAUGUCAACAAAGAAGGUACGAAUCCAUUUGGAACUUGGUGAAGAAAAUAGCUUAGAGGUAGUUAAAUUAACAACAAUUAGAUUAUUAUCAGAUGAUAUCACUUAUUUGUUUCCAAAAAAUUUACAAAAUUUAAAAUAUCAUAAAGAUUUAUUUGACACAAUUAGUACUGUCAAAAUGGCAAGUAAAGCUUUGACAAAACUAGGUCAGUGUAGGAACAUCACUAUUACAUUAAAUCCUGAGAUUGUUACUUUGUAUUUAGAUGAAGAUUGUAAUUUUGUUUUUAAAAAUUGUUAUUUAGAGGAAUUAAUAGAGAAAAGCACGCUUAUAAAUACUCCGGUUUCAUUAGAAAAAACAGAUAAAACUAAAGUAGAUUUAAUUAGACUAAUUGAUAAAUUAAGCACUAAACUCGAGACAAAAGUAAACAGGGGGCUGGAUAUCUCCCAAAUUCAAAGCCAGUUUGUUUUAAAUAAAUUUCAAGGCAAAGAAAAUGCUAGACAGUGGAUGAGUAAUUUUGAAAAUGAGUGCGAAAGACAUGAAAUAGUAAUAUAUGAAGCUAAAAUACAAAUAUUACGUCUAUUUCUGGAACAUAAUGCUAUAGAAUGUUAUACCUCAACUUUAUGUAAAUUAACAAUGCAUGGAGCAUGGUCGGAAUGGCAAAAUAAUUCUUUUUUAGAAACUUA
rnacentral:misc_RNA from 1 species